AUUGAACGCUGGCGGAAUGCUUUACACAUGCCAGUCGAGCGGCAGCACGGGGGUAACCCUGGUGGCGAGCGGCGAACGGGUGAGUAAUACAUCGGAACAUGCCCAGUCGUGGGGGAUAACACUUCGAAAGAAGUGCUAAUACCGCAUACGUCCUGAGGGAGAAAGCGGGGGAUCGCAAGACCUCGCGCGAUUGGAGUGGCCGAUGUCAGAUUAGCUAGUUGGUGGGGUAAAGGGCUACCAAGGCAACGAUCUGUAGCUGGUCUGAGAGGAUGAUCAGCCACACUGGGACUGAGACACGGCCCAGACUCCUACGGGAGGCAGCAGUGGGGAAUGUUGGACAAUGGGGGCAACCCUGAUCCAGCCAUUCCGCGUGAGUGAAGAAGGCCUUCGGGUUGUAAAGCUCUUUCGGCAGGAACGAAACGGUGAGCUCUAACAUAGCUUGCUAAUGACGGUACCUGAAGAAGAAGCACCGGCUAACUACGUG
rnacentral:rRNA from 1 species